rnacentral:rRNA from 1 species
CACGUAGGGGACGAGCGUUGUCCGGAUUCAUUGGGCGUAAAGCGCGCGUAGGCGGCUCGGAAAGUCGGUCGUGAAAUGCCGGGGCUCAACCCCGGGACUGCGUCCGAUACUCCCGAGCUGGAGGCAGGUAGGGGAGAUCGGAAUUCCUGGUGUAGCGGUGAAAUGCGCAGAUAUCGGGAGGAACACCCGUAGCGAAGGCGGCACUCUGGGCCGUG